GCAGGGUUGGAGUGGUUGUGACGGAGAAGGUGUAGCCAGCAGAGCCUGAAAUAUUUACUAUCUGCUCCAAGCCCUGUGGCUUAUCUUCUCUG